CUUCAAUGUUGUGGGUGGGAGAUGAACCAGUUAUAGAGGGCAAAAGCAUAAUCCUAGAGAUUGAAAGGUAGAUGCAAGUAAAAAAAAUGGAAGAGUUGAAAAGAAAACUAGUUGCAUUCUUGUUUUGGCUGAUUUGUUUAUUGUUAUUGGCUGCAGUUUUGUUUUUGCAGUAUUUUAGGUUUGCAUCUUUUGUUCUUUAUUUGUUGCCAACUCUUCUUGUUGGAGCUUCAAUCUAAAAGGCCUGUUUUUUGUUAUCUUGGUUGUGUAAGAUUGUUUUCCUUAUUGAUGUAUGUUGAAUUUCAGGUUUGAGGGAGCUAGUCUUUAUUUGUUAGGAGUGGCUGAGAUGAUUAUAAAAAGAGAAAAGUAGAGCAGAUAGCUAGGGGGAAGAGGAAGAGAGACAAAUGAGAGAAAGGG
rnacentral:misc_RNA from 1 species